GGGGGCGUCAGGGCUCGACAGCGCAGGUCUGACGCUCAGUGGCGAGCCGAGGUGCCGUGGGCCUCGUAAAAAAACGGCGCACAAGAAGUGCGAACUAUAACUAUGCUCUUGCUGCCUAAUUAAUGGCAGCCGCCACCUUGCCUGUCGUCGGUCCGGGCAAGUGUGCGCGUGGGUCAGACCGACUGGCUCCCGACGCUUCGCCCGGAGCGAAGGGAGGACACGACACCGGGCUGGCGCGGCGAUUCCCUGUCCGCCGGGACGCGCCGCGCGAGAAACAAAGACGGACUACGCUCGUAGAAGCUGAGUGAGCAGCUGUGCUGGAAGGGGGUUCAAUUCCCCCCGCCUCCACCA
rnacentral:tmRNA from 1 species